GAUGAACGCUGGCGGCGUGCUUAACACAUGCAAGUCGAACGGAAAGGCCUCAGCUUGCUGGGGUACUCGAGUGGCGAACGGGUGAGUAACACGUGGGUGAUCUGCCCUGCACUUUGGGAUAAGCUUGGGAAACUGGGUCUAAUACCGAAUAUGACCACUUCUUGGAUGUUGUGGUGGAAAGCUUUUGCGGUGUGGGAUGAGCCUGCUGACUAUCAGCUUGUUGGUGGGGUAAUGGCCUACCAAGGCGGCGACGGGUAUCCGGCCUGAGAGGGUGUACGGACACAUUGGGACUGAGAUACGGCCCAGACUCCUACGGGAGGCAGCAGUGGGGAAUAUUGCACAAUGGGCGCAAGCCUGAUGCAGCGACGCCGCGUGGGGGAUGAAGGCCUUCGGGUUGUAAACUCCUUUCGCUAUCGACGAAGCCACUUGUGGUGACGGUAGGUAGAUAAGAAGCACCGGCUAACUACGUGCCAGCAGCCGCCGUAA
rnacentral:rRNA from 1 species